UACGGGGGGGGCAAGCGUUAAUCGGAAUUACUGGGCGUAAAGCGUGCGCAGGCCGUUUCGUAAGUCUGUCGUGAAAUCCCCGGGCUUAACCUGGGAAUGGCGAUGGAGACUGCGAGGCUAGAGUUUGGCAGAGGGGGGUAGAAUUCCACGUGUAGCAGUGAAAUGCGUAGAGAUGUGGAGGAACACCGAUGGCGAAGGCAGCCCCCUGGGUCAAAACUGACGCUCAUGCACGAAAGCGUGGGGAGCAAACAGG
rnacentral:rRNA from 1 species